AAAUUUUGUGACACUCUUUUGUGUUUGUUUUCUUUCUUUCUCUUUUUCUUUUACUUCUCUCUUUUUAUUCUUCUUACCGCUA
rnacentral:ribozyme from 1 species